rnacentral:rRNA from 1 species
AGCGAACGCUGGCGGCAGGCCUAACACAUGCAAGUCGAACGGACCCUUCGGGGUUAGUGGCGGACGAGUGAGUAACACGUGGGAACGUGCCUUUAGGUUCGGAAUAGCUCCUGGAAACGGGUGGUAAUGCCGAACGUGCCCUUCGGGGGAAAGAUUUAUCGCCUUUAGAGCGGCCCGCGUCUGAUUAGCUAGUUGGUGAGGUAACGGCUCACCAAGGCGACGAUCAGUAGCUGGUCUGAGAGGAUGACCAGCCACACUGGGACUGAGACACGGCCCAGACUCCUACGGGAGGCAGCAGUGGGGAAUCUUGCGCAAUGGGCGAAAGCCUGACGCAGCCAUGCCGCGUGAAUGAUGAAGGUCUUAGGAUUGUAAAAUUCUUUCACCGGGGGCGAUAAUGACGGUACCCGGAGAAGAAGCCCCGGCUAACUUCGUGCCAGCCGCCGCGGUAA